ACAACAGUUGGAAACGACUGCUAAUACCGCAUAAGCGCACAGUACCGCAUGGUACAGAGCGAAAAACUCCGGUGGUAUAGGAUGGGCCCGCGUCUGAUUAGCUAGUUGGAGGUGUAACGGACCACCAAGGCGACGAUCAGUAGCCGGCUUGAGAGAGUGAACGGCCACAUUGGGACUGAGACACGGCCCAAACUCCUACGGGAGGCAGCAGUGGGGAAUAUUGCACAAUGGGGGAAACCCUGAUGCAGCAACGCCGCGUGAGUGAAGAAGUAUUUCGGUAUGUAAAGCUCUAUCAGCAGGGAAGAAAAUGACGGUACCUGACUAAGAAGCCCCGGCUAACUACGUGCCAGCAGCCGCGGUAAUACGUAGGGGGCAAGCGUUAUCCGGAUUUACUGGGUGUAAAGGGAGCGCAGGCGGUCUGUCAAGUCUGAUGUGAAAUCCCGGGGCUCAACCCUGGAACUGCAUUGGAAACUGUCAGACUAGAGUGCCGGAGAGGUAAGUGGAAUUCCUAGUGUAGCGGUGAAAUGCGUAGAUAUUAGGAGGAACACCAGUGGCGAAGGCGGCUUACUGGACGGUAACUGACGCUGAGGCUCGAAAGCGUGGGGAGCAAACAGGAUUAGAUACCCUGGUAGUCCACGCCGUAAAC
rnacentral:rRNA from 1 species